AUUGAACGCUGGCGGAAUGCUUUACACAUGCAAGUCGAGCGGCAGCGCGGGGGGCAACCCUGGCGGCGAGCGGCGAACGGGUGAGUAAUACAUCGGAACGUACCCAGACGUGGGGGAUAGCUCGGCGAAAGCCGGAUUAAUACCGCAUACGACCUGAGGGUGAAAGCGGGGGAUCGGCAAGACCUCGCGCGUUUGGAGCGGCCGAUGGCGGAUUAGCUAGUUGGUGGGGUAAAGGCCCACCAAGGCGACGAUCCGUAGCGGGUCUGAGAGCACGACCUGCAACAUCGGGACUGAGACACUGCCCGGACUCCUACGGGAGGCUGCAGCGACGAAUCUUCCGCAAUGGGCGCAAGCCUGACGGAGCGACGCCGCGUGUGGGAUGAAGCGCCUUCGGUGUGUAACCACUGUCAGGGGGCAGAACCAAUGAUCGCCCCCAAAGGAAGAGACGGCGUAACCCUGUG
rnacentral:rRNA from 1 species